UGUAUAUGUUUGCUUGUGUGUGCGCGCACAACUCAAAACAAAACAAGCAAAUCUUAUGGCUACUAUUCGUCUGUAGAGCAAGGCUAUCAGUUGCGGCAGACACGUUUAAUUAUUUUAAAGUACAAACGCUUGCAUUUAUGAUUAUGAACUAAAUACACAUCUUUGAAAACUUCAUAUAGUACUCAAAUAUUUUAUUUACACUUCUAAUGCCUUUCAACAAACUGUAUUCAAAACUCAAUUUAAAUAGCGAAAUUCACAACUGUAUGUUGGCGAUGAGGUUACAGUUGUUGUUUGUCUGUAACAGCCUAUUUGGACGCACGGUUGCAUGGCAGUUAACAUUACUCAGUACUAUGAGUUAACAGCCAGCGCAAAUAAGAGCAAAGAAAUGGCUGAUCAGCUCCAAGUCAUGAGACAAGUGAGCCCAGCAAUGGCCCAAGAGUACAUUACGCAUUGUAAAAAAUCGGUUCAUUUAGUACAACAGUUGUGGAACAGUGACAGGUUUCGAUAGGCCUUCAAAAUCCCUGUGCUUCUUCUGCCAACUCUCGUCGCAGCAGUCGCUGAAGCAAAGCAUCCUACUCAGCGGAGAUUCGAUCCGCCUUGGACAUCGAAGACGCUAUCGAUGUCGUGAUGCGGAACAUUCGCGAGGCCGCACAAGCUGCAACUAACCACGUUUCCAGGCCAGUCAGCCUUCCGAACCGUCGAAUCAACAACCAUAAAUAUCUCGUGCUGCACGAGCCCACUAGAAGGCUGUUAUGGAUCAAACAAACGCAUCUUUCAGUCGACGCGCAGUCCAAGAGCAAGACAACAAUAUAGACGUUAAGACGCGUCCCCUCUAAAUAUUUCCAUCGUCCUUGGUAGCUAUUUCUAAUUCAAGUAUAUUUAUAGGUCUUCCUGUGAACCUCUGCUUGAGAACUCCAAUAAAGCGUGUUUGUUAAGCGGCUCAACUUUUCAAUUAGCCAAUCGCUGGGAAUCGAAUGGUUAAGUCGCCGCAGGAUGACGCGGUAUCCUUUCUCACUGCGCAUCUGAUGGGUAUGGAGCUGUGUGCCGUUCUCAGCCUGGACUGCUUGGAUUGCAUUGAACGUUGCCAUGUCCUUACUUUGAAUGCGAAGUCUAUUAUUUGUAAUCCACCUUGUCACGUAUGUGCCAAAUUUUGGGCAAUUGUUAUUUUGACUUGAUGCCAAAUUAUUACUGAUUACAUUUCACGAUGAAACUACUGCAGAGCAGUAUUGCCGCUUUUCAUACGCAUGCAGAAUGAACUGGUAGACUCGCGCAAGUUGGUGCUCUGUGCCGUGUUCACAUCUAAAGCCGAAUUGAUGGUUUGGUACAGCCUUAGCAAAGUCCUCAAAUUCGAAUAAGCGGGCAUUAAGAGGUUAUUCAAAGAUCUUCGAGAAACCAGAGAGGUUUUUAUUUAGUUGUGUUCACUCGUGAACAAUGGCAGCAACUGACGAUUGUAGAAACAACAACAACAACAACAACGCCGGCUACCCUCGUUUAAUUUCCUAUUACUUAUCAACAUUAGAAAAUAGUGUUGACAUGUAAAACAAAAUGUAUAAUAAUAAUUUUGAUACUAUAUAUGAUA
rnacentral:sRNA from 1 species